GGGGGGAUGGCGCAGUGGUAGUGCGCCUGGUUGCUUCUGCUAGCUUGCUCGCAGAGGUUGAAGGUUCGAAUCCUUCUCCCCUCA
rfam:Pyrenophora tritici-repentis Pt-1C-BFP supercont1.17 genomic scaffold, whole genome shotgun sequence.